UACAGAGGGGGCAAGCGUUGUUCGGAAUUACUGGGCGUAAAGGGCGCGUAGGCGGCCUGCUAAGUCGAACGUGAAAUCCCCGGGCUCAACCCGGGAACUGCGUCCGAUACUGGCAGGCUUGAAUUCGGGAGAGGGAUGCGGAAUUCCAGGUGUAGCGGUGAAAUGCGUAGAUAUCUGGAGGAACACCGGCGGCGAAGGCGGCAUCCUGGACCGAAAUUGACGCUGAGGCGCGAAAGCCAGGGGAGCAAACGGG
rnacentral:rRNA from 1 species